UGAUGUUUUUUGAUUUCACUUUGAAGUUAUGUAUUGUUAAUGUGUAUUUUUUCAGUUUUAGGUUUAUUGCUUUAUAAAAUUGAAGUGAUAGCUGGCGCACAAAAAAGACGAAGAAAUAACAAACUAUUUCAUCAUUUGUUUAACAAUCGGUUCUGUUUUAUAAGGGGAUACACACAAAUUGGAUCUAAUUUGUUAACCAAUCUCUGUUCGUGCGUUAUUUAUUAGACAGCUUAAUGCUACCUCGUUGAACUUGCAAUCAUUAGUAAUAAAGCGAUUAGCUUAAAUAAUAUUGAUGUGAAAAGUAAUGAUU
rnacentral:misc_RNA from 1 species